rnacentral:rRNA from 1 species
GACGAACGCUGGCGGCGUGCUUAACACAUGCCAGUCGAACGGAAAGGCCCUGCUUUUGUGGGGUGCUCGAGUGGCGAACGGGUGAGUAACACGUGAGUAACCUGCCCUUGACUUUGGGAUAACUUCAGGAAACUGGGGCUAAUACCGGAUAGGAGCUCCUGCUGCAUGGUGGGGGUUGGAAAGUUUCGGCGGUUGGGGAUGGACUCGCGGCUUAUCAGCUUGUUGGUGGGGUAGUGGCUUACCAAGGCUUUGACGGGUAGCCGGCCUGAGAGGGUGACCGGCCACAUUGGGACUGAGAGACGGCCCAGACUCCUACGGGAGGCAGCAGUGGGGAAUAUUGCACAAUGGGCGGAAGCCUGAUGCAGCAACGCCGCGUGCGGGAUGACGGCCUUCGGGUUGUAAACCGCUUUCGCCUGUGACGAAGCGUGAGUGACGGUAAUGGGUAAAGAGGCACCGGCUAACUACGUG